rnacentral:misc_RNA from 1 species
UGGGAUAGCAAGGAGUUAGACUCAAG